CUCACUAAAAAACAAAUAGUUGCAAAAACAUAUUACUUUUUAACAUUCAGGAAAUCUCGAUUGCUUUGAUCCAUCGAACCAUAUUUAGAAAAACGAAUGAGUUUUCAUCCUCACUAUACGCUGCUUUAAUUAAUCGGAAAACGGAACCUGCAAUGGUUCGGCGCAGUUGUUGGUUGUUGUAAAGGGACCAAAAACGAUUAAGUACGUUUAUGGAGCCCAGAAGAAACGAGACGUUUCUCCUUAAGUAAUACCAGCGCCAAAAACCUGAAUCACUCUAUAUACUCAAACAACGCUCAGCUAUGAACGAUAUAUACAAGCAAUGAACGAUAUAUACAGUGUUUUUGCAAUAAAACCUGCAAAAACCGAUUUCCAAUAAAUGCUAUAUAAUACGAGCCAUACGAUAUUCAAAGUUUUUACAUUAGUGAAGGGUUUUUGCAUAAAAAGUCCCCAGAUAGGUAGCAAAGCAAUAUGUUGCAUUUUUAUUAUUCUUAAGAAUAUCGCGAUCCAGGCCUGCGUUAAACGAGGCAAUUUUUAUGGAAGAAACUAAGUACCAAAUGUUUUAAAAUUGCAAUUUGGUCCGAUAACAUGAACUUGAAAAUAUAUUGGUUCAUCCACCAGCAAAACUUAACAAAACUUCAGCGUGCACUAUGCAUAGUUAAUUAUAUUAUUCAUGUGCUGAUAGUGAAUAUUGCAACAGUUUCCGAGUUGCACUGGUAAUGCAAGUCCAUUUUCCACGCUCACUCGAGCCAAUACAUAUGGACGUUUUUUGUAGGAAAGAAGCCCAAUUUUUAUAAUGCAUGAUAAUGCUAAAUCGGAACACCAUAUUUUAACUAACAGAAAUGAAAACAAGGACUUAAGGCGGAGCAAAGAGAUCCUAAACCAACUAAAUCACUAUUUUUUGACAUCGACAUAGAUUUACACAUAUGUAUUAAGUAUGUAUAGAAAUUAUGACAUUUUAUGUGCACAAUUACUCUUAUAAUAUAGGUAUGCAUAUCUUUUACCUACGAAA